CGGAUCGAUGAUGACUCCUGGUGGCGUGUGAGUCGUGAACGAUGAAUACAUGUCUGGAACGCUGAGGUCCAG
ensembl:snoRNA